UCUUGCAUCAUUUCAAUUACAGUCCCCAAGUAGAUAGCAGCACAUCUACAACAGAAACUCCUCCUCAUCUCAGGCACUCCGUAUAUUAAAGUCCUCCAAUUGAUAGCAGCACAUCUACAACAGAAACUCCUCCUCAUCUCAGGCACACCGUGUAUUAAAGCGCUCAUCAUCACAUCUGGCAAGUAACAUCUAACGCUUGUCAUUGCUGUGUGAACAAGUGAAUUGCUUAUGGGAUUUCUAUAAUUCAGG